UACGAAGGGGGCUAGCGUUGUUCGGAAUCACUGGGCGUAAAGCGCGUGUAGGCGGCCCGCUAAGUCUGAUGUGAAAGCCCGAGGCUCACCCUCGGAAGUGCAUUGGAAACUGGCGGACUGGAGUCCCGGAGAGGAGGGUGGAAUUCCUGGUGUAGCGGUGAAAUGCGUAGAUAUCAGGAGGAACACCGGAGGCGAAGGCGGCUCACUGGGGAUUUUCUGACGCUGAGGAACGAAAGCCAGGGGAGCGAACGGG
rnacentral:rRNA from 1 species